UUCUUUUUUUUUUUUGCACUGGAUCUUGUUAAGUUUUCUGUUGGAUUGGAUGAUGGUUUGCUGCCUAGUUUAAAGCCUUGUGUUUGGACUUGUUUAUGUUUGAAAGCUGGUUUGACAAGGUGUCGAAUUGCAGAAAAUCUUCAUUCGAAAAUUACAGAAGCAAAGAAAGCUUCGGUUUUGCCGAAAGCUUCAUAUGCUUGUUGAAACCUUGUUGCAAUUUGAUUUUGCAUCAUUUCUUGCUGUGUUUUAUUAGUUUGAAUAUCCAAGUUGUGUGUUGUGUUGUUUAAUUCAAAGUUUGGUCAUUGGUUUGAGAGAGUUUGUUCAAAGCUUGAGUUAGUUUUCUGGAAUUUGUGGUUGAAGAUGAAAGCGCAGCCGACAUUCUAGUUGCAGCAGGUUUUAAAUUGCAGAAAUCUUCUUCGUAUGCAUGCUUUGCAUGAAGAAAUAAUUUCUAAAAAUUGCAAAUCGACCCCUUGGCUUCCAACUAAUGCUACUAGGGCCCAAUCAAUUAAAUAAUUUCAUCAAUUUGAUCCUUGGUAAUUUUAAUUUGUGCAACUUCAUUGCUUGUUUGCUUCAAUUAACUACCGUGCUUUGUUUCAAUUGCGCUUAAGUCAUGACUUUAGGGACUUUAUGAUCAAGUAAGCUUUGUUUUGCAUAUUUCUUUUAAUUUUUCUUAAAUAAAGUGGUACCUUGACCUUUUUAUUGUUUUGAAACCAUUUUUACUUCAUUUGAUUACCAUCGUGAAGGAGGUAUAACUUUUCUUUUAUCCCUUUUGUGUCUCC
rnacentral:lncRNA from 1 species